rnacentral:rRNA from 1 species
CAUAUGCUGGCUGUCCGGGUGUGUAAAAUACCCCUGUUAGCAAGGGCCGGGCAAGACCGGUGCCAGCCGCCGCGGUAACACCGGCGGCCCGAGUGGUGAUCGUGAUUAUUGGGUCUAAAGGGUCCGUAGCCGGUUUGGUCAGUCUUCCGGGAAAUCUGCCGGCUUAACCGUUAGGCUUUCAGGGGAUA